GGCUCUGGAGAGGUUUCAAGGCUCUGUCAUGGCUAAUGUUUCUAUGGAGAACUUAACACUAAGAAGAAAUGUCAAGGAUCUAGUGGCCAAAGGCCACAAAAGGAAGAGGUCACACUUUUCUGCUCCUCCUCUGAAAUCUUAUACCAAGAGGCAUUGAUUCUUCUCCUAAAGUGGCUUCACUGAUGUCUCUGAGGAAAGGGGCCUAUUUUAGGAUUUUUUUUUUUAAAGGAGAAAAAGAAACAGUAAAGAGAAGAGCUGAUUUCCAGCUGUUAUUAUCGAGUUGGCUGGCAGAUGAAAGAGCACUUAGGAAGUCACGCUGGCAGCCCUGAUGAGUCAUGACAGCUCAGCAGUCCCCAGCCUUGCUCCAGGGUCCCAAGGAAGCAGGACUCCUCUGAGUGGUGUUGCCAGAAGCUGCACCUGGGAAGGACUUGGACAACCACUCUGUGUCUGGAACUUCUCUGAUCCAGCAGGAUGAAUGGCAGAGACCCAGAUUGCUAGGAAUGGUCCUUGCCAAACUCAGCUACAGCCCAGCACUUCCAGUGAGUUCCCACACGCCAUCAUCCGGAUCCUACAAGGGGAUUUUGGGAAUCUUCUUUCCCUCCUCAUGAAAGAGCCUCAUCAUGAAAUGGAAAGAAAGGAGAAGGGAAACGAUGAAUUUUGUGUGAAGAUCUGAUGCUUGGAAUUACUGGAAUCAUCUCAUGCCCACGAGGGGACAAAAGCUGAGGAUGGCUGAUCUGAAGGAUGCAAAGUACCUGGGUCUUCAGUGGUGUUGCCAAGCCACAUGAUUACCAGCCUUGGAAUUAUCCUAUCUCCUUGGUUAUGUGAAAUAACAAUUACCUUUACUAGUAAAUAUAUUUGAAGUUGCAUCUUCUAUUAAAUGCAGUCAAAAGUAUUCUUUUGGGAUUAGCAAAUCCAUGGCAGACACUCCAUGCUCUGCCUCUGAUCCCA